UUAUUCUUGUUUGAGAAGCAGUUUUCAUUUGGAUAUACAACGCUGUAGGGAAGAAAAGCCGAGCACAACUUCACUUUCAGUUCACUGAGAUCCAGAGAUGAAGUUGCCAGUGAAGCGCUGUACCUGCAAGGCCACGAGAGAGAUCAGCAGAAAGACGAGCAGGCGCUGAUUUGCCGGGAUCAUGUUCAAAGGUUUCCAGUGAGACCGGGAUUGAGCCGAACGCUGUUUAUAUCAACGGCUGAUAACAGUAUCAGAGAUCAAUGAUCAGCGGACACUUUAACCACAGAAAUGAGGGCGACUCCACGUCUACAAGGAUUCCUCUGAUCAUGGGGAAAGCAGAGCUGUCAGUCAACACAUGGAUGCUGCUGAUCCAGACACACCCUUCACUGCGAGUUCAGAGCUAUUAUGGGCUGCGUGGAGGUCGUGGGUAACCAUGGUAACGCGUUUCCUGGUGCUCCGGACUGUUUUGACUCUGAUAACCUGUGAAGAGGAAGUUCUCAGUUCGGCAGCAUCACAUGAUCUCAGAGAGUUCAGAAUACCGCUUCCCAAAAUCAACCCCCAGAAAUGCUGGACCCCUCAGAAGCCCUAGUGUGUGUGUUUGUGUGUUUAGUGUCUGGCAUUGUAAGGAAAAUAGACAUUCCUGUCCUGGAAAACUCCUCACUGCUUUAGAAAGACGGGUUAGUCCUAUAAAUGACGCGGACACACGGGCCCCUGUUUGUUUCAUGUAUCUCAUCUGGGCCCCUAAACGUCUAUUGUUGUUUCACGGUCAUGUGCGAAUCAAAUAGAAAGCAAACACAAUGGAGGGUCUGAUCUAGAGGCCCGAUCCUCUUAAACUUCCUUCGCUAUUAACAGGGAUAUUUCUGCUGAUUUAAUCAAACUCUGAGCGUGACUUCAGAAACUCAGUCAGUCAAUUUAAGUGCCGAAUCUGCUAAAUACAGUGAAUGAUUGACAGGAGUGGGUGGAGGGGAGGACAUUAGUGUUUACACUGUAAAUAUAGCCACAUGUGUUUUGACUUCUGAUCAAAGCACUUUUAAUGUGUAAAAAAACUAUAUUAUUUAAAAAAUAUUAGAACGAUUUCUGAAGGAUCAUGUGACACUGGUGA